CAAGAGAUAGUUUAAUAAAAAUAUUAAUUUUGGAGAUUAAUGAUAAAGAGGUUUCUUUUCUCUUGA
rnacentral:tRNA from 1 species